AAGUCCUUUUGCUCCAUCUGCCAUAGAAUCAAUGGUUUUUCCAAGCAUUCGCAUGUAUGCCAAAGAACCGAGCAAUCCAGCACCAUAGCUGAACAGAAAAGAAUUAUGAUUACAUACUGGCAGACAGAAUAUCUUUAUGAACUACUGCUAUACGGAAAAUGAUCCAGCGAGUAAGUGUCAACAUAAGAAGGAUUUGUCUGCACCUGAUUAUGUGAUCAAUCAGAAAUGUAAACAGAAGCCCAAUCCACAAAAAAUAUAAAUAAAAAAUAAUAAUAAUAAUAAUAACUAAAAAAACAAAAAGAACUGAGGUUUCAAAUAACAAGUCAUUUGCAAAGGAUGGUUAAUGCAAAAGGUAGUAGUUUCACAGAUGUCAAACGUCCCAUCUCAUUCACAAAUCAUCAAUAUAAUGCAGAUUAAUUUCACAAGGUUGAAGUAGUAGUCAUACAAAAAUUCUGAAACGCAUCCUAGCAAGGUGCUUACCUUGCUGCAAUUUCAGGAGAAUAAGAACAAUAGGCUGAGAUUACACCAACACCACCAAUGCCCAGUGUGAGGAACUGCAAUUUAUUCUUCAACUGCAAAAACAUUAAAAGGAGAGAUUGGAACUUCCAACUAAAGAUCUUAAGGAUGUAGAAGCUAAUAUUUUCUUCAAAAAACCUUAUAGUACUGUUCCCUUGACUGAGCAGCCAACACUUCUGGGUCCCCUCUGGGACGCUUUGAUUCCCUAAACAUCACUUCCUGCAGAACAAGAAAACUUGGAUUAACGUAAAAGGAUUCUUAAAAAAUACAAUAUAUAUAUAUAUAUAUAUAUAUAUAUAUAUAUAUAUAUAUAUAUAUAUAUAUAUAUAUAUAUAUAUAUAUAUAUAUAUAUUCAGCUCGAAAAUCAGCAAUUUGUUUUAAGCAAACAGAAGUUUAAGCAUAUAAGAUGAGAAGAAAAUUGCAUGUCCAAAAUGAAACUACACACACUGCCUCCAGUUGCAGCUUUAGUAGCUCUGUCCCACUUCUCUAGCUCACGUCGUGUUGGGGCUGGUCUCCAUUUUCGAGAAGCAAUGCUAUUACUCUACAAAUCAUUUCAAUCCUGAUGAGUAUGGAAAAUAACAAAUGCAAACUAGUUUUACAGACCAUUUUUUCAAAGGGAACUUAAAAUCUGUCACACUUGAAUUUCUUCAACUCGUGGUUCAACCGCAGAUCUUGAAGUCGCUGUUAACUCUUUGCUCAAGUCAAUUUCCAAACUGCAUCCUCAAAGAGUGGGACUAUUACACGGGAAAGCAGUAUAGGAAUUCAAGACAAAAUAAAAUAACAAUUUCCAAAAAUAAAAGGUUGUGUACCUGUCCAAGCUCAUCACUCUGUUCAAGCUAAGAAAUCCACAAGGCUCUUCCUGUUCAGAAACAUACCAAAACAGUAUAAUUUACCAAAUUCAGUGCUGAUACCUGGACAAUAUAUUUAUCAACUAAAAGCAAUAAAAAUUCAAUCUGUGGUAAAAUCAGAACAAACAGUUUCGGAAUGAAACCAAAAAAUUAGAUCAGCAGUACUUCGUAGAACAGUCAAUUAAUUAGACAAGCAGAACAUUCUAGAAAUUCUCUCUGAAAAGAAGGGGAAAAAAAUGACACUAGACAUCCCUAUACAAUGUUCAACAAGCAGUAUUAUCCAAGUUCCAAAUUCCAAAACAAUUAAUCUCAAUGAGCGCUAAAAAUUCCCCAUUUUUACUAAUUUCUCAUACAAAAGCAACAGCAAAAAUAAAACCCACAAUAUAAAUCACUCAAAAAAACCCAGAUAAUGACAAACCAAAAAUAAUCAAUUGGCCAAAUACUGGACCUUCGCAGAUGAGAAUCGAGGGUCAGAAUUAGUGUCGACAUCGACGGGGUCUUGAAUGAACUUUUUCAUUCGACCCAUGAAGUCUUUGUUCCACAAGUAUUCAUCAGAGGCAAGAGGGUCCUCAUCUCCACCCCAGUAUUUCCUGAGCUUCGUUGUGGUGGGUGGGCCCCCAUACUCACCCGGAGCCACCCCUGUAGACCAUUUCAUAGGCUUUUUCUUGGGCAGUAUGAUCUUGGUCGGCGGCCUCGUGAUUGCUGGCUGUGGAGAAUCUUGAGAUGUGGGUGUGGCUGUUGAAGUCACUGAGAGGUAGCAAUUCACUGCCGCUGCCAUUCUGUGUGACUGCGUGUGGGGGACGGGGCGCGGGAACUGAAAUAGGAAAUAUCUGCAGGGGAUUGUGAAUUGUGAUAGAGAAGAUGACACAGCGUAUCAAUUGAUAUUCCACCCAAGCAUUGUCCAUUUUUUGUAAUUUUUCACAGAUUUUUUAUUUUUUCUGAAUUAAUAAUUAUAUGAAUACUUUUUUUUUCUAUAGAGCUAAUAAAAUAGGUAAAAUACUCAUAUUUAUUUUAUUUUAAUAAAAAUUUAACUAGUAAAAAAUAUGAAAUAAUAAUAAUAAUGUAAUACGAUUAUCAUCCAUAGAUUACCUUAAAUGUCAUAAAAUAUUAAAGUAUUCAAAUUAUGACAUUGAAAAUAUUUAAACACUAUAAUAUUAUAGUAUUAACUUUGAAAAUAUAUAUUAUUAAGCCAUUGUUGGGACUUGGAGAUUAAAAUUAUAUUUUUAACAAUUUUGAUAAAAGUUGAUAAAAUAUGUAACUGAAAAACUAUGGAUCCCAUAUUUCAUCAUUGACUUUGAUUUAAAUUAAAAUUUAGAUCUUUCCCUUGUUUGAUCCCCAUUUUUAAAUCAAAAUAUAUUUUUCAACAGUGAUUUGAUAUCAUUUUAACCACACAUUCUUCAAUAAAAUAAUAUUAUACGUAAAUCAAAAAAAUUUCCUUAUUUUUUGAUCAUACAUUUCCCAUCAAUACACUAUUCAAAAAUGGGGCUUUAUUUCGUAUCAAAGGCCAAAUGAACUUUAAGCGUAGCAAUUAUUAUAUUUUAAAUCUACUAUUAUAUAUUAUUAACUUGAUUUAAGACAGAAACAUUGAUUUUGCGGGUCUGGUUAAAUUAUACUUUGUCUCUCUUACUAUUGUUCAUUGUCAGUUAAUUUCAAAUUCACAUACCAUAAAGCUUUCUAUUGCAAGGACUUUGAAGCUCUAUGGUCACAGAUGAAUGCAUGUGAACACUUGUGACAUAAAAUAUCAUACUCUCUCCAUCCAAUUUAUUUUUAUUUUCUUGUCCACAUUAUAGCAUCAAAUUUCUUUUAUUGAGAAUGUUUUGUUUGUUUACUAAUAUACUAUUACACUCUUUUAUAGUCAAAGUCAAAUAAGAACUUAAGCUAAACAAAUGAUUUUAUGGGGCUUGACUUGUAACUACCAAUAUUUAAAUGACCGAAAACAGAAUAAAAUAGGAAGUUAUGGAUUUAGUUUCCUAGUAUUAGAAGUAAAUGGACUAAAUGUUACAUUAUACGAAGAUUGGGGAGUUGACUUGCAAUUAUAUUAUAAUUAUCCAUUUAUAGUAAAGGAUAAGGAUUCCCUUUUGUUUUCAUUUGGGGGAGAAGCAGCAGGCAUAGAGGAAAGAAACCGAAACAAAGAAUGAGAGAAGGAAGAAGAAGAAAAUAGGGGUGGAAAAGAAAGGAAUGAGUGUUGGCUUCCAACUUUCAUUCAUUAAUUCUCCUUAUUUUCAAGAUGGAAGUAUAAAUUAUGUCAAUUGAAUUAUGGCAAAUUUGCUUAAAUUUGAAGUUAGCUAGGUAGACUAUUUUGAAUUAGGGUUAUGGAAUUUAAUUGUGAACAAGGUAGACUAGAUGGGGGGACUUUUAUGUGAACAAGUGGCUGUCUGGGUUCCAUAAAAUAAGAAUUUUGGACUUAUCUCUUUGGGCUUCUUUUUAAUUCUAACAAGGCUUUGUGAAGGGUUUUGGUUUCAAUAAAUCGAAUAUGAAAGUUGCUAACAUGUAUAGGUGUUCUCCUUGAUUAGUAGGGAAAUGAAGGAAACAGGUUGGAGUUGAUAGAAGCUGUCCACUUGUUUAUGUUAUAUAUUCUUAGACAUGGAAAAACUAGGAAAGAAAUAAAGAAUAAGAAAUAGAGGAAUACAAGUACGAUGAGUAUUUGGGAAUUCAUAACCAAUUUGAAUUAAUACAAUUUUUGAGACGCACAACUCUUAAUUUCCUUAAUUUAUUUAUUUUUAUCCUUAGAUUAAAACCAUAUCAAACAUUUUGCAAUAAAAUCAAAACAUAUCAAGGAAAUCAAAUUUCAGAAUAUAAAGAGUUAAAGGAACCGCUAAGUUUAUAUUAUACCAAAAGAGAAUUUUGUUUUACAAAAUACACCUCAUUACACCUUAAUCAUAUGACUAUCAAAAAAUUUUGAUCAAAAGAAAUGUGUGCAAAUUUUUCAAGAGUUACCUAUAGAUCUAUUCUAUAGCAGGCUGAUAUGGCGAAAUAUCAAAGUUUGGCAAAAUUCUUUUAUUUUUACUACACUCUUUUACUAGGCAUUAAUUUCCUACUUUACACAAUGCCACUUGCUGUUUACUCCACAUACAUUAUAGUAUUUACAUAACAAGAAGUGACCAAGUCAUAAAAAUCAAUAAUUAUCAUUACAAAAUCCUCCCCGUCUUCAAAAGUUUCGACCUCUUUUUCCUCGUCGAUCACCAUAUAAAAACGUGUAUAGUGGGUAUGUCUAUAUAUAACAUGUAUAGCUCUGAGGUCCUCAAUAAUCUCGACACGUCUGGUGGUUCGGAUAAUUUCAGUCUCUCGCGGUGGCAGCUACAAUACAAAAUACAGAACGUGAAUCAUAAAGUUCAGUAAAUAUGAUGAUGCAUGUCAAACAUACAUGGGCCCAAAUUCUUAUUAUAGUGUACCGUAUGAGCUCAGAAUAACAUGGACUUUUUCCUGCGUGUUAACCAAUAUCAACGCAUCCAUCGUUGCCCAUCAAGACUCAGGAUGCCACAUCAGUAUAUCAUAUAUACAAAUUCAAGGCCUGGCUUACAUAGAUACAGCGCUCAAGGUGCCUAUCGCAGUCCCAAGGCCACCAAAGGGACCUCCUGGUACUGCCCGUAUACAAGUAUCGAACUCCCAAUACCCUAUUCUUGGCUACCCUUAAUGACUGUCAGGAGCCUCAAAGCGGUACAGUUAUUCGGACACUAUAGUACGGUAUAUCUAUAAUGGGAUUCACAUUCAAAAUUUUCAACUGUAACUUAAUCAGCAUGACAACACAAGUAUGCAUGAUCUUGAAAACGUAAUUAUUCCUACGUUUUCCAAAUAAACUCAAUGCACAUGUAACAUACUACCAUGUCACAUAGCAAAAGAAACAACCACAUUUAAACACAUAUUAAUGUAUUUUGCGUUGUAGUUGGAAAAACAUCAAUAUUUGCCUUUUUCGCGAUUUCCUUGAUCAAUAUAUGCAUUGACACAAUAAUCUAUACAUUAAUCACAUCUUAUCUUAUUAUUUCCCGAUUAUUACAUCUCAACUAAACUUAUAAGAUAAUAUAAGUUAUUUAAUAGCAUACCCCUAAUAAAAAUAAUGACACUACUUUAUUGUCAUAUAGUAGUAAUAAUAAUAACAUUAAUAAUAUAAAUGAAAUUCUCGUUAUCGUCAUUAACUAAAUUCCAUAAAAUUAUUACAUGUACAAUUUAAGUUAGCCAAUACAUUACCAUAUUACUUUUCCAUUUCAUGCUUGAUCCACAUUUCUUUUCAAUCAACACGAGUUUAUAUACACAUCCAUACGCAUUAGUAAAUUUUCUUAUUCAAUCCAUAUUCUUCUUUACCACAUUUCCAACAUAUCUCACCAUUGAUACUAUGCAUUAUAACAUUUUUUCUUCACAUCUUAUCACAUAACUAGAUCAAAGUAAUUUAAAUUUAAGCUUCAAGUGCUAAUUGUUAUCUUUCUUCCCAUUUGAAUUUACCACUUAUAUAAAUAUAGUAGUGGCACAAUUUCCAUACCCAUUAUUAUGAUGAUAUUAACAAUUAUUAUACCAAGUUAUUUUCUAUCCCUGCUCACUUCUUUCUUACUCACUAUAUUUUCCCCCAAAACUAUUUUAUACAAUCUUUAAUAAUGCAAGUUAAGUAAACUAAAACUCAAUAUAUCUUCAACUAGUUUAUAAGUUUUAAAAUUUCCAAAGUCAAGAUUUUGAAAUUGAAAAAUUAUAAUUUAUUUUCCUUGAUUUUAUUAAUUAAACUUAACUAUAAUAUUAUCUUUUAUCAAUUACUAAAAAACCCUAAAGCAACAAAUUAU
rnacentral:sRNA from 1 species